ACGGAAGGCAGCAGUGGGGAAUAUUGCACAAUGGGCGAAAGCCUGAUGCAGCGACGCCGCGUGAGUGAAGAAGUAUCUCGGUAUGUAAAGCUCUAUCAGCAGGGAAGAAAAUGACGGUACCUGACUAAGAAGCCCCGGCUAACUACGUGCCAGCAGCCGCGGUAAUACGUAGGGGGCAAGCGUUAUCCGGAUUUACUGGGUGUAAAGGGAGCGUAGACGGUUUGGCAAGUCUGAAGUGAAAUGCGGGGGCUCAACUCCUGAACUGCUUUGGAAACUGUCGAACUAGAGUGCAGGAGAGGUAAGUGGAAUUCCUAGUGUAGCGGUGAAAUGCGUAGAUAUUAGGAGGAACACCAGUGGCGAAGGCGGCUUACUGGACUGUAACUGACGUUGAGGCUCGAAAGCGUGGGGAGCGAACAGGAUUAGAUACCCUGGUA
rnacentral:rRNA from 2 species